rnacentral:rRNA from 1 species
GAUGAACGCUGGCGGCGUGCCUAAUACAUGCAAGUCGAGCGAACGGACGAGAAGCUUGCUUCUCUGAUGUUAGCGGCGGACGGGUGAGUAACACGUGGAUAACCUACCUAUAAGACUGGGAUAACUUCGGGAAACCGUAGCUAAUACCGGAUAAUAUUUUGAACCGCAUGGUUCAAAAGUGAAAGACGGUCUUGCUGUCACUUAUAGAUGGAUCCGCGCUGCAUUAGCUAGUUGGUAAGGUAACGGCUUACCAAGGCAACGAUGCAUAGCCGACCUGAGAGGGUGAUCGGCCACACUGGAACUGAGACACGGUCCAGACUCCUACGGGAGGCAGCAGUAGGGAAUCUUCCGCAAUGGGCGAAAGCCUGACGGACCAACGCCGCGUGAGUGAUGAAGGUCUUCGGAUCGUAAAACUCUGUUAUUAGGGAAGAACAUAUGUGUAAGUAACUGUGCACAUCUUGACGGUACCUAAUCAGAAAGCCACGGCUAACUACGUG